UACGUAGGGUGCAAGCGUUAAUCGGAAUUACUGGGCGUAAAGCGUGCGCAGGCGGUUGUGCAAGACAGAUGUGAAAUCCCCGGGCUCAACCUGGGAACUGCAUCCGAAACUGCCUUGCUAGAGUAUGGGAGAGGGAAGUGAAAUUUCCGGUGUAGCGGUGAAAUGCGUAGAUAUCGGAAGGAACAUCAGUGGCGAAGGCGACUUCCUGGACCAAUACUGACGCUCAGGUGCGAAAGCGUGGG
rnacentral:rRNA from 1 species